AUUAUUUACAAAUAAAAAUAUCUAAAAUAUGAAAUUUAAAUAGAAAAUUCAUAAAAAAAGGUUAAAAAUAAAAUUCAGAAACAUGCACUCAAACUUCCAAAAAUAGAAAGCCAGAUUUGGUUGGAACUGUGUCCAUGUCAUGCACCGAGGAAGAUCAAGUGUAAAUGUUGAUCUUUUGCAGUCUUUGAUGUUGCAUUCUUGUCUUGAUACAAUUGAAGAAGGGACAUUUGGCACUGAUAAACAGGGAUACCUAAUCUUAAUUUGUGGAUGUUAGGUAAAAACAUUUUAGAAGAUCUGGCAAGUUCCGUAUUCGUUCACAAGAAGGAAGUUCUAUUUAGUUCCUUGGUUUGGCAUUUUGUAGAUGCAUUGCAUGCAGGUGUUUGUGAAGUCCAGAAGCACCAAUAAUGGCCGACUUUAUGGUUCUAUGCUUUGGUGAUAUUGAGGUUUAGCUGAGGACAAGUAGAUUCAGCUGGUUUUGGAUAUUUGUUUCUUUUGUCGGUUGGGUUUUGUUUCCUUCUCCAUUCCUUGGUAUGAUAUAGCAAGAUUUCCAGUUGGGUCAUUUGAAACUCUUCACUGCUAUGAAGAGCCAUUAAUCCCUGCUGCAUUGGCCGAGUCAAGAACGUUUAUGGAGAUCCCUGCUUUUGUUCCUUUCUAUAGCAAAACAAAAUUACAGCAACCUGGAAAGUCUUUUUGUUACACAGUAAUACUACAGCCAAGCAAUUGCAAAAGUAUGAAAGAA
rnacentral:misc_RNA from 1 species